AACCACACUAUCGAUAAAUGGAUUCACCUGCGAGAUGACGUGGCUGUUUCACCUACGACGAGGACAUGACAUCCUAUUACCAGCCAUCGCACGAAAAAUUAAUAGUAUACCACGUCGAUGGAACAACCAUGUCAUAUCACCGGUGAAUCCAUUCAUCGAUAGUGUGGUU
rfam:Oryza sativa Japonica Group DNA, chromosome 6, cultivar: Nipponbare, complete sequence.